UGAUGGGGAGCGAAAUUUAGUAGCGAAGUAGCUGAUUUCACACUGUCAAGAAAAGUCUCUAUCGAGGUUAAAGGUACCCGUACCGCAAACCGACACAGGUGGGUGAGGAGAGUAUCCUAAGGCCAGCGAGAGAACUGUUGUUAAGGAACUCGGCAAAAUGACCCCGUAACUUAGGGAUAAGGGGUGCCACCAUCAGGUGGCCGCAGAGAAUAGGCCCAAGCGACUGUUUACCAAAAACAUAGGUUUCUGCUAAGUCGCAAGACGAUGUAUAGGAGCUGACGCCUGCCCGGUGCUGGAAGGUUAAGGGGAUCUGUUAGAGCAAUCGAAGCAGUGAACUUAAGCCCCAGUAAACGGCGGCCGUAACUAUAACGGUCCUAAGGUAGCGAAAUUCCUUGUCGGGUAAGUUCCGACCCGCACGAAAGGCGUAACGAUUUGGGCACUGUCUCAACAACAGACUCGGUGAAAUUGUAAUUCCGGUGAAGAUGCCGGAUACCUGCGACAGGACGGAAAGACCCCAUGGAGCUUUACUGUAGCUUGACAUUGGGUCUUGGUACUACAUGUACAGGAUAGGUGGGAGGCUUUGAAACCAGGACGCCAGUUUUGGCGGAGCCAUCCUUGGGAUACCACCCUUGUAGUACUGGGACUCUAACCAUAGGCCAUGAAUCUGGUCUUGGGACACUGUCAGGUGGGCAGUUUGACUGGGGCGGUCGCCUCCCAAAAGGUAACGGAGGCGCUCAAAGGUUCUCUCAGUACGGUCGGAAAUCGUACGUAGAGUGUAAAGGCAAAAGAGAGCUUGAUUGCAAGACAUACAGGUCGAGCAAGGAUGAAAAUCGGACUUAGUGAUCCGGUGGUUCUGCGUGGAAGGGCCAUCGCUCAACGGAUAAAAGCUACCCUGGGGAUAACAGGCUUAUCUCCCCCAAGAGUCCACAUCGACGGGGAGGUUUGGCACCUCGAUGUCGGCUCAUCACAUCCUGGGGCUGUAGUAGGUCCCAAGGGUUGGGCUGUUCGCCCAUUAAAGUGGUACGCGAGCUGGGUUCAGAACGUCGUGAGACAGUUCGGUCCCUAUCCGUCGCAGGCGUAGGAAAUUUGAGAAGACCUGUCCUUAGUACGAGAGGACCGGGAUGGACGUACCUCUGGUGUACCAGUUGUCCUGCCAAG
rnacentral:rRNA from 1 species